ACACCACAUGAAAGGCAGAAAUUGACCAAAGAGGGUUUGAAAGAACAAGAGCUCCAUGCAAACAAAAACCAGGACUAUUUUGGUUACCAUCAUAUCCCCAACAGCUAGGACAGUUCUUGGGACAGAGGAGAUGUGAAAGCAAGCUCCGAAGGGCUCAUGUUCCAGGUCAUACUACCAUUACGUGCCAGAGUGAAGAUUCAACACAGGGUUUCCUACGGUGCCCCAGGAUGACUCUGCCAUCUCCCUACAGCAGGGUAGCAACUAGCAAUGUGAAAUAUGAGACACCUGAUGCCUUCAAAAGCGGAAAAGACAAGGAAAAUAGGAACAUGUUGCCAUAUCUCCUUCACAAUUACAUCAUCCUUCUAUGCUGCA